AACGCAGGUGGUUUGGUAAGUCAGAGGUGAAAGACCACAGCUUAACUGUGGCACUGCCUUUGAUACUGCCUUUCUUGAGUAGAGUAGGGGGAAGCGGAAUUCCGAGUGUAGAGGUGAAAUUCGUAGAUAUUCGGAGGAACACCGGUGGCGAAGGCGGCUUCCUGGACUCUAACUGACGCUCAGGUGCGAAAGGCGUGGGGGAGCGAAACAGGAUUACGAUACCCUGGUAGUCCACGCCGUAAACGAUGGGCACUAGGUGUAGCGGGUGUCGACCCCUGCUGUGCCGAAGCUAACGCAUUAAGUGCCCCGCCUGGGGAGUACGGUCGCAAGGCUGAA
rnacentral:rRNA from 1 species